GAUAAGUCAAUCCAUUUGGACUUUGAACUAUCUAGGUUAAAACAUUGAUUGGGUAGUGAGGGUCGGCUUAAAGAGAGCGAGGAUAAACCAGUGGAUAUCAUGCUAGUUUCAUUGAAGUAAGAUUCAAGUCUCAUAAACCAGCACUAUUCUAUCAUAUACAUGCAUCAUCUUGCAUUGCAUCAUGUAUCAUACAUACAUAUCAUGCCGGUUUUCAAACCGGGUCAAAGCAUAAAUUCUUGCAGGUGCAAAUAAAUCUUUGAGUAGCCAAUUUGGGUGGAUUUUCAUCAUGGUUUAUCAUAACCAGUGUUAAAUGAUUGGGAUUUUUAAGCCAGCUCGGAAAAAUUGACAAUAGUCAAAGAGCCGCCCUAUCACAUAUAUUGCCGGGUCAUUUAAUUGACCGGUCUUGGAUUUCUUAAACGUAUGGAUUUCUCAAGCAUAUAUAUGUCGGGUUACGUUGCAACCACGAUCAAGGAUUUCUUUCAUCACAAAGGCAUCAUCACAGUGGAUAUGAU
rnacentral:lncRNA from 1 species